GUAAUCAGUCAAUUUAGUCCCUAAACUAUCACUCUCUCACCAAUUCAGUCCCUAAACUAUUAAAACCAACUAAAAGGUCCCUAAACUAUUUUUCAUCCAUCAAUUAGGUCCCUAAACUAUUAAAACCAACUAAAAGGUCCCUAAACUAUUUUUCAUCCAUCAAUUAAGUCCCUAAACUAUUUUCCAUCCAUCAAUUUAGUCCUCCAUUAUCUUUUCCGUUAACUGUUCUUUAAAACCCUAAAAUCCAAAAGCUACUUUUACGCUUAUAUCUCUCUUCUCGAUCAACUCUUUCAACUCCAUUAAUUUAGUCCUCCGUCACCAACUCUUUUUUCUUCAACCCCCUUCAAUUGCAUCUUCUUAUCUCUCUCUUCUCGAUCAACUCUCUCAAAUCAUCUCAAUCUGAAAACCCUAGCGCCACCUAUAUGCUCCAAUUCCGGUUGUCGUCGUUGUUUUAAGGUACGUUUUUC
rnacentral:lncRNA from 1 species